CCUACGGGAGGCAGCAGUGAGGAAUAUUGGUCAAUGGGCGCGAGCCUGAACCAGCCAAGUAGCGUGAAGGAUAACUGCCCUACGGGUUGUAACCUUCUUUUAUAAAGGAAUAAAGUGAGGCACGUGUGCCUUUUUGUAUGUACUUUAUGAAUAAGGAUCGGCUACCUCCGUGCCAGCAGCCGCGGUAAUCCGGAGGAUCCGAGCGUUAUCCGGAUUUAUUGGGUUUAAAGGGAGCGUAGAUGGGUUUUUAAGUCAGUUGUGAAAGUUUGCGGCUCAACCGGAAAAUUGCCAGUGAAACUGGCAGUCUUGAGUACAGUUGAGGUAGGCGGAAUUCGUGGUGUAGCGGUGAAAUGCAUAGAUAUCACGAAGAACUCCGAUUGCGAAGGCAGCUUACGAAACGGCCACUGACAUUGAUGCUCGAAAGUGUGGGUAUCAAACAGGAUUAGAGACCCUUGUAGUC
rnacentral:rRNA from 1 species